GUUGCCGGAAAUGGAUUCCAUAUAGUUGGUGCUCAUACUAAUAGUCCUUGUCUCAAAUUGAAGCCUGUUUCCAAGGUAGCUAAGGGUGGGUACUUGGAAGUGGGAGUCCAAACAUAUAUAUGGAUGUGGCUUGUGGCAUACCUAGUUCGACCGUGACUUGACAAUUGCAGGAAGGGUGAUAGUAAGAGAAGAGAAAGUUGGUGUUGUUUCUUACUCACAUAGACUUGUCCGGAUUGAGGAGCCCAUCAUGCGGAUUCCUACUCUGGCAAUUCACCUGGACAGGGAUGUUAGAGAGGCGUUUAAGGUGAAUGCACAGUCACCUUCUUCCUGUCUUGGCAACAGUAGUCAAG